UUACAUAUAACCAGGUUAACUACAGUCUCCACAUCCUAUUACAUAUAACCAGGUUAACUACAGUCUCCACAUCCUAUUACAUAUAACCAGGUUAACUACAGUCUCCACAUCCUAUUACAUAUAACCAGGUUAACUACAGUCUCCACAUCCUAUUACAUAUAACCAGGUUAACUACAGUCUCCACAUCCUAUUACAUAUAACCAGGUUAACUACAGUCUCCACAUCCUAUUACAUAUAACCAGGUUAACUACAGUCUCCACAUCCUAUUACAUAUAACCAGGUUAACUACAGUCUCCACAUCAUAUUACAUAUAACCAGGUUAACUACAGUCUCCACAUCCUAUUACAUAUAACCAGGUUAACUAGUCUCCACAUCCUGUUACAUAUAACCAGGUUAACUACAGUCUCCACAUCAUAUUACAUAUAACCAGGUUAACUACAGUCUCCACAUCCUGUUACAUAUAACCAGGUUAACUACAGUCUCCACAUCCUGUUACA